rnacentral:rRNA from 1 species
UACGGAAGAGGCAAGCGUUAUCCGGAAUUACUGGGAGUAAAGCGCGCGUAGGCGGCUGACCAAGUCAGCUGUCAAAGGGCCGGGCUUAACCUCAUAACUGCAGUUGAAACUGGUGAGCUAGAGUGUGGUAGGGGUAAGGGGAAUUCCCUGUGUAGCGGUGAAAUGCGUAGAGAUUGGGAAGAACAUCGGUGGCGAAAGCGCCCUGCUGGGCCAGCACUGACACUGAGGUACGAAAGCUAGGGGAGCGAACGGG